UACGGGGGGGAGCAAGCGUUGUUCGGAUUUACUGGGCGUAAAGAGCGCGUAGGCGGUCCGGUAAGUCAGCUGUGAAAGUCAAGGGCUCAACCCUUGAAAGCCGGUUGAUACUGUCGGGCUAGAGUCCGGAAGAGGCGAGUGGAAUUCCCGGUGUAGCGGUGAAAUGCGCAGAUAUCGGGGAGGAACACCAAUGGCGAAGGCAGCUCGCUGGGACGGUACUGACGCUGAGGCGCGAAAGCGUGGGGAGCAAACAGG
rnacentral:rRNA from 1 species